UGAGAAGUUCAAUGUCCAUUCUAUCAUCCACUGGGACAACCCAAGACAAUUGCUCCUGGAGGCAUGUUAUCAAGCAGGAGCACCUGAAACAGGAAAUUAAUAGUGGGAACACAGUAGACUCUCAUAGCAGGCACAGCACUAUAGAGGAUAAAAAGGAACAAACCAAAUCAGCAGUGUCUGACGUCUUGGCCCCAUGGCUGGGGGAUUCCCUGAAGAGAAGAGUAGCAGCACAGCCCAUCUGCGUGAAUCCCUUGCCCAGGCAACUCUCCCUAGAGAGGACUUCAACCACUACAGCCCAGCAACUCAGUGGAUGUAAAUGUAGAAGCACCUAG
rnacentral:lncRNA from 1 species